AAAGUCGUAACAAGGUCUCCGUAGGUGAACCUGCGGAGGGAUCAUUACUGAAUGGCCUCUAGGCCUUCAACCUUGCAAACCUGUGGAAGCAAGAUGUGCUUCGGCGCUUCGGUGCCGCUUUUAUGCCCAGUGAGGUUGUGUCUGAAUAUCAAAAGAAUCAAAACUUUCAACAAAGGAUCUCUUGGCUCUC
rnacentral:misc_RNA from 1 species